CGCACCCCACCCCACCUCCAGUUUGGGCUCUCCCAGGCUUAAGAGCCUGCCGGAGAAAAGGCACCUAAAUCUAAUGCAACACUGAGAAGCGGAGCCUCCAUCUUGCGCUGCUCCGCGUUCUCCAUUUUGGGCCACCCAUGGGGGGGGGGGGGGUCUCCGUGGAGGCCCCGAGGGAGAGUUGGGCGAGGGAAGGAAGAGAAAAUCUUCAGCGAGGGUAGUCGAAAAGAAGAGUCGUGCAGUAGAAAGCCACUCUAGGAGUAGGAGCGUCCCGGACCUUUGACCACCUAGAACUCUCUACGCGGGGGAGAAAAACUCGGGGAGGCCCUGUCCCCUCCGAAGCGCCGCUUUUCCUAGGACAGGAAGAAGUGACCUAUUACCGUGUCUCCAUUGCUGUUAUAGAAGUUCCCAGGUUCCCACAAUAGUGUGUAGUUAAAGGCACGUCGUUCCUCUUUCUUUUUAAAAAAUUUUGGUUAGAGUAUUCCUUUGAUACUGAAUUACCUUUUAGUUACAAGAAAAGGAAUAAAUGUAAAUGUUACUGACAAAUUUUCCAAAUGAGAAAUAACGAAAGCCCUGUGUAAAUCGAGGAGAUUUCACCCGAUAUCACCUUCAAAGCAUUCCUAAUGGAAUAUAAUGAUUAAUUUCAGUCCUCAAAAUAUAUUCCUAACACGCCUUAGUUUCUCUCCCAUUCUGUGUGCUUACUGUUUUUUUUCUGCAACUUUAAAAAAGAGUUAUGGUAUAUUUAAUCAACUGAACAAUAAAAGUUAAACAGAAACAUCUAAAUAUCAAUAACAAAUAAAAUCCGAGACGUUUUUACUUACCUCUAAAGCUUUGGGGAGUGGAAUACUAUUCAAAAUAAAUUUCCAUUUCAUUUAUAGACCAUCUUUGGUAGAAUGUUAUACAGUUUUUAAUAGAUUCAAGUUACAGAAUGAUGCAGCUAGAACAUUAAAUAGGGAGUAGUGGAAAAUUUACAGUUACAUAAGUUAAUGCAAAAUUCCACUUAAAGUAAUAGAAAAAUUGGGCUCUGUACCAAAUCAUUUUACAUUAAUUUAGUUCAAUUGUGCCAAUUUACUAUCAAUUGAUAUUAAAUUAUUUCCUGCCUUAGUAUUAGCUGAAAACUACUGAUUUUCUGCUCCGAACGUCACAUUUAUAGUACAUGGUGCAAACAGUUUUUCACCUAUUUUGUAAAUUCAUAUUCUUAUCUUAUUGUCUAUGUAGCAACUGAGACUUUAAACAAUUUUAUACCUUGAAAAAACAUUGAAAACUUCCUCUGUUUAGUAAACUUUCUUUCAUCUUGUGAAAAAUACCAUUGAAGAAAACCAGUAACUAACUGGUAUAACAUCUGAAGAAAAUUUUAUAGCAAA